rnacentral:misc_RNA from 1 species
GCUACUACCGAUUGAAUGGUUUAGUGAGUACUCCUGAUUGGCGCCGCCGCCCCGGCAACGGAGCAGCGGACUGCCGAAAAGUUGUUCAAACUUGAUCAUUUAGAGGAAGUAAAAGUCGUAACAAGGUUUCCGUAGGUGAACCUGCAGAAGGAUCAUGAUCUGAAGAGCUUCGUGUAGGGUAACAGUGUAUAUCUCGUUUUUCGCCUUUUCAUUAAACAUACUUUUUUUUUUUCUUUUCCUUUCUUUUCUUUCUCUUUCUUUUUUUUCUUUUUUUCUU